UUCAGAGCAUCUGUUCAGUGC
rnacentral:miRNA from 1 species